rnacentral:snoRNA from 2 species
AAAUUGACGAUGAUUAUAACAAUAAUUCCUCGUUCUGACUUGUUUGAUUUGAGCAUGAUAAAUCUCUUAUUACACUCAUAGAAUCUGAGUUAU